UUCUUAUCGAGAGAGGUGGAGGGACUGGCCCAAUGAAACCCGGCAACCGCAAGUUCGCUUGAAGGUGCUAAAUCCUGCAAAGCAUAUGGGCUUUGGGAGAUGAGAG
rnacentral:ncRNA from 2 species